CUUGAUCGAGCCCAGCCACAGCGGAGCGUCGUCCGGCCGGUCCUGACCGUACGUGGCAAGCACCGCCUGCGCCUC
rfam:Streptomyces sp. CB02488 scaffold14, whole genome shotgun sequence.